rnacentral:tRNA from 1 species
GUCAGGAUGGCCGAGUGUUCUAAGGUGCCAGACUCAAGUCCUGGACCUCGUGAAAUGGCAUGGGUUCAAAUCCAACUUCUGACA